GCGCCGAGCUGAGGAAGCUCGCCGGGCGCGUCAUGGAGGCCAUGGACGAGAACCUCGGCCUUGAGAAGGGCGCCAUCCAGCGCGCCUUCUCCGGCGACGGCCGCCACGAGCCCUUCUUCGGCACCAAGGUCAGCCACUAUCCGCCGUGCCCGCGCCCGGACCUCGUCACGGGCCUCCGCGCGCACACGGACGCCGGCGGCGUCAUCCUGCUGUACCAGGACGACCAGGUCGGCGGCCUGGAGGUGCUCAAGGACGGCCAGUGGACGGACGUGCAGCCGCUCGCCGGCGCCAUCGUCGUCAACACCGGCGACCAGAUCGAGGUGCUCAGCAACGGCCGCUACCGCAGCGCGUGGCACCGCGUCCUCCCCAUGCGCGACGCCAACCGCCGCUCCAUCGCAUCCUUCUACAACCCGGCCAACGAGGCCACCAUCUCGCCGGCGGCGGUGGCCGGCGGCGAGGCCUACCCCAAGUACGUCUUCGGCGACUACAUGGACGUGUACGCCAAGCAGAAAUUCCAGGCCAAG
rnacentral:lncRNA from 1 species